GAGUGCGCGCAUGUAGCAUACAGAUGGCGCACGGUCUCACGGGGUGCGUAACACGUGGGUACCUGCCCUUUGAUGGGGAAUAACCUCUCGAAAGCGAGGCUAAUUCCUCAUAAGAUCCGCAAGGAUGAAAUCCUAAAUGCGUCUAAGGAGGGGCCUGCGCACGAUUAGCUAGUUGGUAGGGUAAUGGCCUACCAAGGCUAUGAUCGUUAGCUGGUCUGAGAGGAUGGCCAGCCACUCUGGAUCUGAUACACGGUCCAGACUCCUACGGGAGGCAGCAGUGGGGAAUCUUGCUCAAUGGGCGAAAGCCUGAUGCAUCGACUCCGCGUGGGGGAUGAAGCUUCUCGGAGUGUAAACCCCUUUCGACCCUGACGAAUACCUCGCAAGAGGGGUGACGGUACGGGUAUAAGAAGCCCCGGCUAACUACGUGCCAGCAGCCGCGGUAAG
rnacentral:rRNA from 1 species